GCAGGGCCGCCGUGCCCGCCCCGUGGUGGCCUCCCCGCGCGCGCGCCGGACGGGGGCUUCCUGCUGGGCCCCCUUGGCAGGGAAGGCGGCAGAGAUGUGGACACAGACAUGCACGGAGGGACGACCCCGUGAGGACACGGGAGAGGAUGGCCGUCUACGCACCAGGAGGGAGGCCUCAGGGGAGGCCGGCCCUGCUCACGCCUGCCUCCCCAACUUCCCUCCCCCGGGACUGGGGCAGAUGCAUUCCUGUGGUUUCUACGGGAUUUUGUUACAGCAGCCGGAGCAGCCCCCACCACAGAGGCCCGAGACAUCUGCAUGCCUUGAGGGCGUAGGUGUCUCGCCUGCGUGUUUUUAGAAGCUCUCUAGUGCUCGCGGUUAAGACCGAUCCGUCCCAGCUAUUGUGUGUGAGGACUAAAUGACAGAGGUGACUCAUCCAAUGGAGGCCAGCUGUCUGAAUCUUGAAGAAGACACAAAACUGAGCCAAGUUGCAAUGAGACGAGGCGCGGGCUCAGUGGAAGCCCUGCACGUGAAAACCGCAGACAGAUGGCUCUGCGUCCAGUGACCAUCUUUACCACCUGUGUCCCUCACGUUGCCUCCCUGGUGGAAGUCACUCAGGACAUGAAAGGCUGUGAGAAGCAUGAUUCUGAGGGAAAACAGCGUGGCUCGUGGUCCCACAACACGAUCGUUCCAUCCAUUAAAACAUUAAAUAUUGAUUUUGGAAUAAUUUUAGAGGCACAGACAAGUUGCAGAGACAGUACGAGGGGCUGCUGGGUAGCCUGGACACAGCUUUUCCCAAUGUCCACGUCCACACACUGGGCUCCGUUUGUCCAGAAGCUUAGCUUGGGGAAAAUGUCACUGGCCACAGACUCAGGUUUUACCCACAUCUGAUGUGGGGCACCAUAAUGUGUUUAGUAAACAUGGAAUUUUAAUGUUUGUGCCCAGAAAUCUAUCAAAGGACAGGAGAGAGAA